UUCUCAGAGUACACACAGCCUACCAGCCAAACACUCAGCAAAACCAAAGGCAUGAGCAACUGGAUCAUUUACCUUUCCUGGUGAUCACUACAAGCUGUCAAGAGUGGGGAAUGAAACAGAACUUGAAAAAACUUAAGAUCCAAACUGAAGAAGAAGGUGGAACCUGAAAGCAAGUGGAGAAAUGCAGUCAUGGGGAAGAACAAGGGCCACAUAUUUCACCUGGAUCUUCAGCUACCUAGAAAGAAGCACAAGCCAAAUUGCCUAGGAAGUGUCAUGAGCCAAAGGAAAAGCUCCAAAGUUUUCCAUUGAGUUUGCUGCAACCAGAAAGACUUCUACAGAUCUGGGAAGAGAACACCAAAGAAACAUCUUUAGAGCCUCUUCUAGUGGAAGAAACACAAGGGAUCACACAGACCUACAUUUCAAAAAUGGUCAACAGCCUAUGCAAAAUGGAACUCUUCCCAGAAGUGAUACUAGUUUUUGACCUGCU